GAUAAGGGGACCUCGAGUGCCAGGUUACAAAUCUGGCUGUCGUGAUGCCUAAAAAGCAUUGCAUAGCAAGGGCCGGGCAAGACCGGUGCCAGCCGCCGCGGUAACACCGGCGGCUCGAGUGGUAACCGUUAUUAUUGGGUCUAAAGGGUCUGUAGCCGGCCGGAUAAGUCUCUUGGGAAAUCCAGCAGCUCAACUGUUGGGCUUUCAGGAGAUACUGUCUGGCUCGAGGCCGGGAGAGGUGAGAGGUACUUCAGGGGUAGGGGUGAAAUCUUGUAAUCCUUGAAGGACCACCAGUGGCGAAGGCGUCUCACCAGAACGGACCUGACGGCAAGGGACGAAAGCUAGGGGCACGAACCGGAUUAGAUACCCGGGUAGUCCUAGCCGUAAACGAUACUCGCUAGGUGUCGGCCACGGUGCGACCGUUGUCGGUGCCGUAGGGAAGCCGUGAAGCGAGCCACCUGGGAAGUACGGCCGCAAGGCUGAAACUUAAAGGAAUUGGCGGGGGAGCAC
rnacentral:rRNA from 1 species